rnacentral:rRNA from 1 species
UACGGAGGGUGCAAGCGUUAUCCGGAUUCACUGGGUUUAAAGGGAGCGUAGGUGGCUUUGUAAGUCAGUGGUGAAAUCUCGGAGCUCAACUCCGAAACUGCCAUUGAUACUGCUUAGCUUGAAUCAGGUCGAGGUGGAUGGAAUAUUACAUGUAGCGGUGAAAUGCUUAGAGAUGUAAUAGAACACCGAUUGCGAAGGCAGUUCACUAGGCCUGUAUUGACACUGAGGCUCGAAAGCGUGGGGAUCAAACAGG